rnacentral:rRNA from 1 species
UACGAAGGGUGCAAGCGUUAAUCGGAAUUACUGGGCGUAAAGGGUGCGUAGGCGGUUCGUUAAGUCUGUCGUGAAAUCCCCGGGCUCAACUUGGGAAUGGCGAUGGAUACUGGCGAGCUAGAGUGUGUCAGAGGAUGGUGGAAUUCCCGGUGUAGCGGUGAAAUGCGUAGAGAUCGGGAGGAACAUCAGUGGCGAAGGCGGCCAUCUGGGACAACACUGACGCUGAAGCACGAAAGCGUGGGGAGCAAACAGG